rnacentral:misc_RNA from 1 species
GAUGAAGAACGUAGCGAAACGCGAUAAGUAAUGUGAAUUGCAGAAUCCAGUGAAUCAUCGAAUCUUUGAACGCACAUUGCGCCCGCCAGCAUUCUGGCGGGCGUGCCUGUUCGAGCGUCAUUUCAACCCUCGACCUCCCCUUGGGGAGGUCGGCGUUGGGGACCGGCAGCACACCGCCGGCCCUGAAAUGGAGUGGCGGCCCGUCCGCGGCGACCUCUGCGCAGUAAUACAGCUCGCACCGGGACCCCGACGCGGCCACGCCGUAAAACACCCAACUUCUGAACGUUGACCUCGAAUCAGGUAGGACUACCCGCUGAACUUAAGCAUAUCAAUAAGCGGAGGA